rnacentral:rRNA from 1 species
AUGGAGAGUUUGAUCCUGGCUCAGGACGAACGCUGGCGGCGUGCUUAACACAUGCAAGUCGAACGAGAGUUUUUAACUCUAGUGGCGAACGGGUGCGUAAUACGUGAGAAUCUGCCCUUAGGAGGGGAAUAACUAUUGGAAACGGUAGCUAAAUCCCCAUAUGCCGAGAGGUGAAAUAGUUUACGCUGCCUAAGGAUGAGCUCACGCCUGAUUAGCUUGUUGGUGAGGUAACGGCUCACCAAGGCCACGAUCAGUAGCUGGUUUGAGAGAACGAUCAGCCACACUGGGACUGAGACACGGCCCAGACUCCUACGGGAGGCAGCAGUGGGGAAUAUUGCACAAUGGGGGAAACCCUGAUGCAGCCAUGCCGCGUGUGUGAAGAAGGCCUUCGGGUUGUAAAGCACUUUCAGUUGUGAGGAAAAGUUAGUAGUUAAUACCUGCUAGCCGUGACGUUAACAACAGAAGAAGCACCGGCUAACUCCGUGC